GAUGAACGCUAGCGGCAGGCUUAAUACAUGCAAGUCGAGGGGCAGCAGGACUGUAGCAAUACAGUUGCUGGCGACCGGCAAACGGGUGCGGAACACGUACGCAACCUACCCAAAACUGGGGGAUAGCCCGGGGAAACCCGGAUUAAUACCUCGUAACCUUUUUAAGUGGCAUCACUUGAUAAGUAUAGCUCCGGCGGUUUUGGAUGGGCGUGCGCCUGAUUAGGUAGUUGGUGCGGGUAACGGCCCACCAAGCCUGCGAUCAGUAACUGGUGUGAGAGCACGACCAGUCAACCGGGCACUGAGACACGGGCCCGACUCCUACGGGAGGCAGCAGUAAGGAAUAUUGGUCAAUGGACGCAAGUCUGAACCAGCCAUGCCGCGUGAAGGAUGAAGGUCCUCUGGAUUGUAAACUUCUUUUAUGGGGGACGAAACCCGGAUAUUCUUAUCCGAUUGACGGUACCUCAGGAAUAAGCACCGGCUAACUCCGUG
rnacentral:rRNA from 1 species